CUUUGCAGGAUCAGCUUAACCAUAUUUCAUCUUUUUUGCAGAGAUUUGCUCCUCCGGUUGAUGAUACUUCAUCUACUCGUAGAGAUGAUGAUGUCGUCGAUCCUUGAUACAUAUCGUAGAUUGUGUACUUAGAAAUUUGAGAUGUAUAUUUUUAGAAUGUUUUUGAAGUACAAUGUAAUCAAAUAUUAUAAUAUGAAUGUAAUCAAAGUUCUUGUUUGUGA